GGGGGGGUGGAUUUCUGUUUGUUCCUGAGCCAAGUAUGCUUGUUUCACUCCAGGCCCCUCAGGGAGAGGAGUGGAGUUAGUUCUGAGGGGCUUAAAGAGAAGUCACAUGGAUUGAUUGAUCUUAACUUAGAGGAGGAACCUCCCUCCCCACACCUCGAAGAAAUCUGUGCCCAGAAUCAGCCAGAGCUUUUUGACCUAUUCGAAGAUUCAAGCUGUGAAUAUAGUCAGAGCCCCUCUAACAAGCACCAGACCAUUGAAACAUGGGAAUCGAGAGAGCCAUUCAAUGAAGGAAUAGUUGGGACAAAAAAAUAAAGACACUGCAAAGGGACGUGUCCAAGAUCCAAGAUUCCCUCAGAAGAAGCCACGAGGAGCAUUGUUUAAAUGGAUCAAAAGAAGAAGCAGGAUUAUUCUAAGGCACCUGUUUCUCUCAUUAAACCCUGUAUUGGUUAGC